CGGACGGGUGAGUAACACGUGAUAACCUACCUAUAAGACUGGGAUAACUUCGGGAAACCGGAGCUAAUACCGGAUAAUAUAUUGAACCGCAUGGUUCAAUAGUGAAAGACGGUUUUGCUGUCACUUAUAGAUGGAUCCGCGCCGCAUUAGCUAGUUGGUAAGGUAACGGCUUACCAAGGCAACGAUGCGUAGCCGACCUGAGAGGGUGAUCGGCCACACUGGAACUGAGACACGGUCCAG
rnacentral:rRNA from 1 species